rnacentral:rRNA from 1 species
GUUAGGAAUAUUGGACAAUGGGCGCAAGCCUGAUCCAGCCAUGCCGCGUGAGUGAUGAAGGCCUUCGGGUUGUAAAGCUCUUUAGCCGAUGAUUAUAAUGACUGUAGUCGGAAAAUAAGCCCCGGCUAACUUCGUGCCAGCAGCCGCGGUAAUACGAAGGGGGCGAGCGUUAUUCGGAAUCACUGGGCGUAAAGCGUGCGUAGGCGGAUUUGCAAGUUGGGAGUGAAAGCCCAGGGCUCAACCCUGGAAUUGCUCUCAAAACUGCAAGGCUCGAAUUCGGGAGAGGAUAGCGGAAUUGUCAGUGUAGCAGUGAAAUGCGUAGAUAUUGACAGGAACACCAGUGGCGUAAGCGGCUAUCUGGACCGAUAUUGACGCUGAGGCACGAAAGCGUGGGGAUCAAACAGGAUUAGAUACCCUUGUAGUCC